rnacentral:rRNA from 1 species
AUUGAACGCUGGCGGCAUGCCUUACACAUGCAAGUCGAACGGCAGCACGGGUGCUUGCACCUGGUGGCGAGUGGCGAACGGGUGAGUAAUGCAUCGGAACGUACCCGGGAGUGGGGGAUAACGUAGCGAAAGUUGCGCUAAUACCGCAUAUUCUGUGAGCAGGAAAGAGGGGGAUCGCAAGACCUCUUGCUUCUGGAGCGGCCGAUGUCGGAUUAGCUAGUUGGUGAGGUAAAGGCUUACCAAGGCGACGAUCCGUAGCGGGUCUGAGAGGAUGAUCCGCCACACUGGGACUGAGACACGGCCCAGACUCCUACGGGAGGCAGCAGUGGGGAAUUUUGGACAAUGGGGGCAACCCUGAUCCAGCCAUGCCGCGUGAGUGAAGAGGGCCUUCGGGUUGUAAAGCUCUUUCGGCUGGGAAGAAAUCGCAUCUCCUAAUACGGGGUGUGGAUGACGGUACCAGCAUAAGGAGCACCGGCUAACUACGUGCCAGCAGCCGCAGUAAGAC